rnacentral:rRNA from 1 species
CCGGCGCACGGGUGAGUAACGCGUAUGCAACUUACCUAUCAGGAGGGGAUAACCCGGCGAAAGUCGGACUAAUACCGCAUAAAGCAGGGAUCCCGCAUGGGAAUAUUUGCUAAAGAUUCAUCGCUGAUAGAUAGGCAUGCGUUCCAUUAGGCAGUUGGCGGGGUAACGGCCCACCAAACCGACGAUGGAUAGGGGUUCUGAGAGGAAGGUCCCCCACAUUGGUACUGAGACACGGACCAA